UACGUAGGUGGCGAGCGUUGUCCGGAUUUAUUGGGCGUAAAGCGCGCGCAGGCGGUUGUCUAAGUCUGCUGUGAAAUCUCCCGGCUCAACUGGGAGGGGGCGGCGGAGACUGGGCGACUGGAGGGACCUAGAGGCCGGUGGAAUUCCCGGUGUAGUGGUGAAAUGCGUAGAGAUCGGGAGGAACACCUGUGGCGAAGGCGGCCGGCUGGGGGUACCCUGACGCUGAGGCGCGAAGGUCAGGGGAGCAAACGGG
rnacentral:rRNA from 1 species